AACCAGAAAAAGAAAUGAAAGCCCCUGGAUCUAAAACCUUUCCUCUCCAGACAACUUUCAAGCUUUUCGUAGCACCAGUAAAUCGUCGAGGUAACCAGAAAAACUCAUCAUGUUCUGAUUGCAACAAAACUAGAAAACCUCUCAUCAGGCCUUCGAGUUCAUUGGACAAUCCACUAUCUUCGAAUCCAGACUCAGCCUUUACAGAUGGUCGAUUACCCCAACCCCUCUCCUAUCCUUGUCAACGAGCCUUUCGACCUCCUUCGGGACUUCCUCUACCCAAUACAUGGGGUAACCAUACUGUCUGCCUUCCAUCGCCAACCCAUGUGUCGUCACAUUAGCCUCCCGAGAUUUCAGUUACCGGAUGACUGUUAAAGCAUCCCCCUCGACACACACAUCUCGAAAACCCAGCUCUUUUACAAAAGAGACCAUCUUCAAACAUGCUCGCGCCUCAGCCAUGGUCGGAUCCAGAAUGUUCUCCCACGGAGAGAACCACACCAACCCCCCAAGGACGUGCUUCGAGAAAACACAAUCACGGAACAAAUGGGACACCGAUUCCUCCUCCACCUUACAAACUAGACAAAGCGAAUUCACAAGCUUACGUGACAUUAGCACCCCUACCGUUGGCACAAAAACAUUAGUUACUUCAAAUUCAAAUUCAAAUUCAAAUUCGAUAAAUUGAGUUUGCAGAAAACAAUUUUAUUAGGAAAAAUACCAAAUUAUUUAAUCCAUAAUAAAAACUCAUGCAAUUUGUCCAACGUUCAUAGUUUAAAAAUCCCAUGCCACAGUUCAAUAGUCUAUCAUAAAAUAAAAUCCAAAAAAGAGGUCAUAAAGUCCAUAAAAGUUCAAAACAUAAGAAAAAUUCAUAAUCGUAAAAGAAACAUUUCCGAGAGCAUCAUUGACGACCAAAUCUGAGUAUUAAUCACGAGGAUUAUAUGAAAACACAUAAGUAAUAUGG